rnacentral:lncRNA from 1 species
GUGAGGCCCCUGGGAAGGCUCUGGGGGAGACCAGAGGAGCUCAAUGUGCCCUGUCUAGGGCAGGGGUAUUUUUAGAGCUGGCUGCACACUGUUUACAAGGAAGCCAGUCCCUUGAGCGUGCCCUCGCCCUACAGGGAAACACUGGCCGCCAGCCCCACCCGCUGGCCCAGGCUCCUGCUGGCCCUCCCUUCCUCCCUCCCUCCCAGCUGUUCCUUUCUUAUCGUCUCUAUCAGCAUGUGGGCUCUAUCAGCAUGUGGGUGUGCUGUCAUUAGCACCCUGAGAGCACAACUGAACAAAACUGUAGCCCAGGGCAUUGAAAACCUCUCGGAGAGGGCCAGGUGUGACCAGCCCUGUGCCCAUCCUGCUGUGAUUCAGGAGUCUCGCAGAAGACAUCAGAAUGCCUUUCUCUGAGUCACAGUCUGUAUCUUCUAGAAAAGGCUGUCCAUCUUCACCCCAAGCCCACUGGCUCCUGAGAUACGACAUCCAGACCCAGUGCAGCUGGACCUGGCCCAGGAAGAUCAUGCGGUUUCUGGGAAGCACUGGAGAAGGAAAAGGCUGAAGAAAGGAAGACCGGAAAAGAAAUACAAGUCCUUCCGCCUUGGCAAAGAUGAUAGUACCGUUCCCUUCAGUGUUCCGGUUCUGCUCUAUUGGAUAAGUUCCGGUUUGACUAUGACUACGUGAAAAUGUGGAACCAGACCUUCACCCCACAUUCCAGCUCCAGCUCUACCACAGAGGAAGUGCAAUAUCACCUUAGUUAUUCAACACAUUAUGCUCCUCGUGAUACAACCAGAGUUCACAUCAGCAAUCUUGGCAGCUCUCACCACGCUGCUGACUCACGACUCUCUCAUGUCCCAAUUUCCUGUCCAUUGUUCUUUCCUCUACUUGGCCUGAUUUCUAAAGGCCUCUCUUGGUUGCAUUAAGCGGGAUUCCUGAGGGAUUCCCUUGGCAGUUACCUUGGGGGAGCUCUUAGGUUUGGGGCUGAUCCAUGUCCUCUAAAUGUAGGACUUCAAAGCUCCCAAAGAUAGGCAGGCCCAGUGGGAAGCUGGGAAAUGCUCUCUGACCCCUCUGGGAGGGCUGGCAGUCAGAGGGCCUUUUGGAAAGAGUCAGACCUGAUCCAUAAGUCCCUGGAAAACACCCUGCCCAGGGAGCAAAUGCCACUGUGGCCUUGACUGAGGCUUCAGAAGAGUUUGGGAGCUGCAAUUCAUCCACACACGCAUUCAUUUUCAAGUAGUGGUUUGCAGUUCAGGCUUUGGAGCCACAUAAGCCUGGCUUCAAAGCCACUUUCCAGCUUUGUAGGAAGUCUCUACAUUUUUAAACCUCCAUUUUUUUUUCCUGUAAAACUGGGGUCUUCAUGGUACUUAACUUCAUCGUGAUGUUGAGAGAAUGAAAAGAAAAAGGAUAAAUAAAUGGCUUAGCCUCGUGCCUUGGCA